UACGUAGGGUGCGAGCGUUGUCCGGAUUUAUUGGGCGUAAAGAGCUCGUAGGCGGUUUGUCGCGUCGGCCGUGAAAUCUCCACGCUUAACGUGGAGCGUGCGGUCGAUACGGGCAGACUUGAGUUCGGUAGGGGAGACUGGAAUUCCUGGUGUAGCGGUGAAAUGCGCAGAUAUCUGGAGGAAUACCGGUGGCGAAGGCGGCAUCCUGGACCGACAUUGACGCUGAGGAGCGAAAGCUAGGGGAGCAAACGGG
rnacentral:rRNA from 1 species